CAGAGACACACUGCAAUUCUCAGACUCCCCCCUUGCAACCACAUUCAGGAUAGGAUUUUAGGGCCUGCCAACCAGACAGAUUCAUGGGAGAGUUUGCUAAGGCGGACCGAGGUAGACCCCGCAGCCAACACAACAGUUUCCCAGCUUCCCAGCUUCCUUUCUGUGCUCGAGAAGCUGGAGGUCUUGUUCGUGAGGUUGGAUGGAGCAACGACCCAUAGCACUAAGUAGCACGGUAAAUAGGCCACAUGCCCCGUUGGGUCUGCCCACCUAAGCACAGUGCCUGAGUGCCACUGUGACAAGCAGAGGGGCCCAGGAAGCACUGAAGUGGGUCUUACCGGGUAAGUGAGGAAGAGCGGAUAGGGCAGGGCUCUCCACAGGGGAUGAUGGCUGGGGAACUUUCAAAGUAAUAAUCCCUUUCCAAGAACACAGAGGCUAUGAGCACGUGCCCUUAGAACACUUAGAACAUUCUAGAAAGAGGAAAUGUUAAAAAUGGAAGUUCUGCCUCCUCACUCAGAGUUUCCCAAGGCGCAGGUCCACACCCCCGCCUCAGGACAGCACUGAAGCCUGAUGUGGGACCAUAGCCUGAGGCCAUGUGAGACCAAUGGAGCUGAGUGUGGAUGCCUGCUGCCUGAUUUCUAGCUCAGGACGAGCUGUGUGCCCUCUGGGCCUCCGCUGACUUUCCCCCAAGUGGGGGUCAUCUCCAUCUUUUGCAAAUAUUGUGAAGAUGCUGAUAGAGGGGACAAUUUACCAAGAACAUAAACACUGCACGUGUGAGUUCUGUCGGGAGGACAAGAAGAGGCUCGGUUCUGGGAAGAGGCAAGAAUCCCAUCUACAGGAGGGAAAGCCCUGGAAAGGCGCAGAGGGAAGAGUGUGGAAGAUCCAGGAAGAGCGAGUGGCCUGAAUAUGCUGGCCCAGCGGGUGUUCUCUGUGGGCCCCUAUGGCCCCUGCACAGCCCCAAGUCCCUGCCUGGCCCUUCAGCCACCAUGAGUUGGUGCCGAUAGCAGGCUCAGAACCCUCAGGAAGCAGCCUUGGGGAGGGUCUGGAGGGAGGUGGCGACAUGACAGCCCGGCUCCCAUGCAGACCACCUAAGACUUUCUUAGGUAGUAGAUGAUCCUCGAUGUCCUGAAUGCACCAUCCAAAUGGCAAACAUUUGCCAUCAUCCACAAAGUUUCAGAAUCACACCGUGGUAAAGGCGAAGGCUCCUUUUCCACCAGCCACUAUCUUGUCAUAGCAUCUCCCAAUUUCUGUUUGAGUAGCCAAAGCCAGCUCAGUGUAGACACAUGACCCUCACUGUACCCCGAUCCAUCUCGGGGUAGGACUAAGAUUUCGUUCACCUUUGAGAGAAUCUCAGACAGAUGGACCCAAUGAUGACCCCGGUGAAAUCAGGUCUCCUUACUCCGAGGCCGCUGUCUCUUUCAACCCCAUUCCUCCUGCUCUCCUUCCCACCCCAGGAAGCCAGAGGACCUCCCUUCCCCUGACUCUGUCUGCCAGCCACACUCGCACAUACGCAAGAAUACAAGCACACGCACACACCAUUCCCAUCACGCAUGUCUCCCCAUCCCACGGAGCUGGGUCUUGCUAAGCUGACCCAAGGAACCAAGAGUCGGCUUGUGUGACCAUGGGAUUAGAGGCUGUUGCCGCGACUCUCUGCUCACAGGUAAGUCACAGCAAGGAAUGGAGCAGAAGCCCAGUGGGAGAGAUCCUGGCAGCCCAGUGGAGAAGAAGGUGAGAGGUUCAGAGUCAGGCAGGUGUCGGGGACAGGCCACCCCGCAGGCACGGGCUCCCGUGUGGGUGGCCUGGCCCUCUGGAUCUUAUCUGCUCCCCAAACGUCUGCACAGCUUUCUCAGCAGCACAAAGUAAUUCCCCUCAUUCCAGAAAAUCCUACUCCUCAGGAAGGUGGCCGGGAACGAAAUGCUAGAACUCACUGCAGGGAAGUCAGCGGAGGGCACCCCUCAACCCCCCAUCUCCACCCGGAGCAGCGUGACUGUCCAGGCCCCAAACCAGAUGUAACUUGUCCUCUCGCUACCCGGGCGUGGCCUGCAGCCGCAGGAAGUGAAGCUGGAGAUAACGGGAGCCCUGAACUCUGCAGCCACAUUUCCUGGAACUUCUUGAGAUAAAGUGAAAAUAAGCAGACUGCCUCCGAGCUCGGUGCUUGACCAGAUGGCCCUUGUCAGCCCCGGGGACUGACCCAAGAACCUCGACCAUGGGAUCCGGGCCCAGGGGUGUGUGUGCAGGAAGCCCCACUGGGUGCGCCAUGCACUUCAGCCAGGCUGGCUGGAAGCCUAACGAGGAGACUGCUCACGGCCGUAUUUGCCCAGACUUGAUUCAAACGCCGUCCCCAAGCAAACGCGAUCCCCAAGCAAAUGUGACACCUCUACUGCCACCAGUGACCUCUCCGUCCACAGAUCUCUGGGGCUCUGGGAUCUCCACCUGCCUCCUGCCACCUUACAGCUCUCAUCACUCACCCUCUUAUCUAAUUCACCAUCUAGACAUUAUGCUCCUUAAGGGCAUCGCGCUGGUGCAGCUCGGGCCCUGGGUGCCUUGCUGUGCCACCGAAAUUGUCCUCAUUGGUUACUGCCCCAGUCCGAGCAGUGCGGCCAGCAGCCAACCUCACCCUCAAGCGGUCUCCAGAAACUGCCUUGGGCUGCAGAAAUCUGCUUCCGCCACAGCCACACCCUCUUCCUGAGGCAGCUGCAGCCUCCAGCGGUGGGUGAGGAAACAGAAGUCCUGCGGCCCUCUUCCCAGCCUGGAGCAGUUCUGAGGGGCGGUCCCAUCUCGGGUGAGCUGAGCCAUCAGUGACCGACCACACCACAUGGCAGCCUGACUGCUCCCCUACCAGCUCUAUCUCCCUCCCCUCCCCUUCCCCAGUGCUGAGCCUGAGAGCAGGAAUACACUUCCCGCACGCUAACAUCCUCACCUCAGAGCUGGCUUCCGGGGCAGCCCACCUCCAACAGAGGGCCUGGUCAAUAAAUACCAUCAACAUCAUGGAAUGGCCAACAGCUUCGUGAUAAAUCCCAUCAGAGGGCAGCUCAUGGGGGCGAGUCAGCUGACCACUGCAAGCAAGAGCCAUGGACUUACCAGGAAACACGCACCAUGUGGCACCAGACCCUACAUGGGAGAAGCUGGAGGCGUCGGACCCAUGGGAAAAGGCAAGGAUGGGCCCGGAGAUCAGACUCCUAGGUCAAGAAAGAUCAGUGAAUGACCAAGAACAGGAACAACAAAGGAUCUGAUGGGGAUCAGACCUCCCUUAGCUGCUCGCCACAUCCAGUGGCCAUAGAUCGGUGGCAGCUGUGGGGAGACCAGCGGAAGGACCAGUGGGACUGCCAGGACCACUGGCAAUACUCUAUGCUACUGUUCACACAAUUCUAUGCUAUCCAUAAUUAAAUUUAAUAAACCAGACAGAUCUUA